CCAGGAAAAUCCGGUAGGUCAUUAACUCCGAGGUGUGAUGACGAGGUCCCACGUGGACCGAAGUGAAUAACGCCCCGCUUCCAGGAAAAGCCUCUAAGCUUCAGGUCACAUUGGACCGUACCGUAAACCGACACUGGUGGGUGAGCAGAUAAUCUGCCAAGGCGCUUGAGAGAACUCGGGUUAAGGAACUCUGCAAAUUGAUACCGUAACUUCGGAAGAAGGUAUGCCUUCGAAGGUGUAGGGAUUUACUCCCGAAGCCAUUGAAGGUCGCAGGUAAUCGGUGGCUGCGACUGUUUAUCAAAAACACAGGACUCUGCGAACACGUAAGUGGAUGUAUAGGGUCUGACGCCUGCCCGGUGCCUGAAGGUUAAAAGGAGGGGUGAGAGCUCCGAAUUGAAGCCCAGGUAAACGGCGGCCGUAACUAUAACGGUCCUAAGGUAGCGAAAUUCCUUG
rnacentral:rRNA from 14 species